AUUGAACGCUGGCGGCAUGCCUUACACAUGCAAGUCGAACGGCAGCACGGGUGCUUGCCCCUGGUGGCGAGUGGCGAACGGGUGAGUAAUACAUCGGAACAUGUCCUGUAGUGGGGGAUAGCCCGGCGAAAGCCGGAUUAAUACCGCAUACGAUCCACGGAUGAAAGCGGGGGACCUUCGGGCCUCGCGCUAUAGGGUUGGCCGAUGGCUGAUUAGCUAGUUGGUGGGGUAAAGGCCUACCAAGGCGACGAUCAGUAGCUGGUCUGAGAGGACGACCAGCCACACUGGGACUGAGACACGGCCCAGACUCCUACGGGAGGCAGCAGUGGGGAAUUUUGGACAAUGGGCGAAAGCCUGAUCCAGCAAUGCCGCGUGUGUGAAGAAGGCCUUCAGGUUGUAAAGCACUUUUGUCCGGAAAGAAAUCCUUGACUCUAAUACAGUCGGGGGAUGACGGUACCGGAAGAAUAAGCACCGGCUAACUACGUG
rnacentral:rRNA from 1 species